UAAACGAAGUUAAAGUGCUAAUAACCCCGUAUCUAUGUCAUGAUCUUGCUUUUGUGAUUUUGUCAUAUACAAAGAAAAGCAAAAGGUGGGACCCUGUUGGCAUGCAUGCAAUAACUACUAUGCCUAGGAGUCACAAGCAGCAUCAUUCUCUGUCACCAAAGUUUUUUAUAUCUGUCACAAAAAAUACAAACAAUAAGAAAGGGUCACAUAUAUCAAGAGAAUUUUUUAUUUACCGCUAUUUUUGCAUUUGAUGUCGCACUCCUGGGGCAUUAUUGUCCUCAAAGUCCCACUGGAAAAUAGUUUUUUUUAGAUGAAAAGUAGUAACAAAGAAAAAAGCAAGGUAAUGGAAAAAUUCUACUUUUCUUUUUACUACGUUGUUUAUUUUAUGGACUUAUAGUUAUAGACAAAUUAAACUGAUGAUUAGCCAAGUUAAUGAUGAAAUAUUCCACACACUACAUAUGUUAAAAAGUUUUUUUUUACUGAUCACAUGUUAAAAAGUUGGAUCACUACUAAUUGAGUUUUAAAAUUACUCCCUAUUUAUUAGUUUCCUAAUUGAUAUUUAGGAAAGAAGGUUGAACUUGAGAUGAUAAAAGAAAUAAUUACUCUCCGAUCCACGUUUUCAUUUUAUUUUCAUGUUCACUUCUAAUGAAUUCACAAAAGAUUAUUAUGAUAUAGUACUAUAAUUUAAACAAAUUCACCCGUGUUAUAAAAUUAAUUAGAAUAUAUAAUUUGAAUAUACAUUUUUAGUAUUCUCUCUUCUCUUCCUUAGAUGUGUUUUCACACAUUAUUUCUGCAACUAGCUAGCCAUUCAAUAAAGUGGAUAUUCUCAUAUGACUGGUUAAUCGUGUCAAUGUCAACUGUUAGAUUUGGCUACUCUCAUAUAUUGCUAUACAAUGAAGCUGGGGCAGACUUAACAGAAGAAGGACAUGCAGGCAAAAUGAACAGUUCACAUUCUCUACUCUACACAACCCUUGUAUACUUUUUAUAAUAUGGAAACUAGAGAAAGAAAAAAAAGUUAAAGGAUUCACCUAGCAAACAAAAUUGAGACAACUGUGAUGCUGCCAACUUGGACUAAACUUUAUAGCCGCAAGUGCAUAAAGAAAAACCAAGCUAUCUUGUCUCAUUAAUUUGUGUCUUUAUUUAUUGUUGUUAUUCUUCAUCCCUUUGAGUUGUGAUUGUGUGUUUGAUUGAUCUCUAAUCAAUUUGACAGCUAGCAGGCUCACUACCACCAGUUAUUGCAUCCAUAUUAGGGUGGAAUUUCAGACCAAAAUCCAAAUGAUUUUGAUAGUGAAAUGAUGCAAAGAAUGGAACUAAAAAUAGGGAGUGACGGUAAGAUUUUAAUCCCACUUGUUUCUGCCUACAGGAUAAGGCAAAAGUGAAUAAUGAUUCAAUGAACGUAGUUUGAAGGUCUAAAGAAACAGAAUGGAAUAACAUGUACACAACUUUUGUUCCAAAAGUUCCCCCCUUAACUUUGCAUAGUAAAAUAUGGUGAGGUGGGAUAAGUUUCUUGUAAACUUUUCUAGAAAAACAAAAAAUAAAAUAAGUUUCUCUCAUAAACUAAAACUAUACACAAGUUAAGAUUAACAUUUUUAGAGAAUCUAAAUGAUUUUUUUUAAAAAAAGUGAUUUAACUUCUACAUAAGUUAAUUUUAGCUUAUAGGAGAAAACUUACUUGAAGAAAAAUAGCCGUAUGACUUUU
rnacentral:lncRNA from 1 species